GGGUGAGUAACACGUGGGCAACCUGCCUAUAAGACUGGGAUAACUUCGGGAAACCGGAGCUAAUACCGGAUACGUUCUUUUCUCGCAUGAGAGAAGAUGGAAAGACGGUUUACGCUGUCACUUAUAGAUGGGCCCGCGGCGCAUUAGCUAGUUGGUGAGGUAAUGGCUCACCAAGGCGACGAUGCGUAGCCGACCUGAGAGGGUGAUCGGCCACACUGGGACUGAGACACGGCCCAGACUCCUACGGGAGGCAGCAGUAGGGAAUCUUCCGCAAUGGACGAAAGUCUGACGGAGCAACGCCGCGUGAACGAAGAAGGCCUUCGGGUCGUAAAGUUCUGUUGUUAGGGAAGAACAAGUACCAGAGUAACUGCUGGUACCUUGACGGUACCUAACCAGAAAGCCACGGCUAACUACGUGCCAGCAGCCGCGGUAAUACGUAGGUGGCAAGCGUUGUCCGGAAUUAUUGGGCGUAAAGCGCGCGCAGGUGGUUCCUUAAGUCUGAUGUGAAAGCCCACGGCUCAACCGUGGAGGGUCAUUGGAAACUGGGGAACUUGAGUGCAGAAGAGGAAAGUGGAAUUCCAAGUGUAGCGGUGAAAUGCGUAGAGAU
rnacentral:rRNA from 1 species